AAGGAAACAAAAGAAAUAAGAACUAUUUGGCACCAAAGUACCUUCUUGAUCCGCGGUUCAUGGAUUUUAAAGAAAAGAAGAGAAAUCAAACCCAGUCCUUCCACUAACAAUGUUUGCAUUCUUCUCUUACAACAGAGAGGGCAUUGUGCCCAGGUCCUUAUUUAUGUAGCUUGGAUGACUGACGCUGUGUAGUUCCCCCCUACCCUGUGUGGCUUCAAGUGACUGGCUCUAUGGGAAAGCUACAGGCUUUAACAACAUCUUGGCAUCCUGUUAUUUGCCAUGGAAUAGCACUGCAGGUGCAGCGUUUUGAAUCUGCUCAUCGGGAAAGGAAUGGAGACUGCACACGGGGCAGCAGCUUAUAUACAACCCACGCUUUCUAAUCACCCUUCCACAUGGCAGCCUGACCCACAAUGCCCUACAUGCACAUCUGGAAGGAGGCUCACCCAUUGGAGGACAGCCAGCUCCACUCUUGUACCCACCAUCCGCAUCACUGAGCAGCACUGCGCCCGUAGCCCACCUUCUUGCCUCUCUGUGCCCUCAAGGCCUAUUCCUCAGCACCCAACCUGCAGGCUUUCAUCCUAGUGGCAUCAGUCACCAAUUUAUUGUGGCCAUCGGUCCCUAUCUCUUACCUUCCCCAACUCUCAGUCAGACUCAGUUCAAACCAGUGUUCCUAUCCCAUUCGUACAUCACAGCAGCUCUGCUUACAUGGGAUUUCCAAUGAGCCCUACAAAACCCAACCAGUAUCUGUACCUGUGAGAAUCCAAGAAUGGUUGUAGGAAGAUCAAAGAUUCAGACCUAUUUCAAAGAAAAAUUCCUUU